rnacentral:rRNA from 1 species
AUUGAACGCUGGCGGCAUGCCUUAUACAUGCAAGUCGAACGGUCACAGGCCGCAAGGUGCUCUCGAGUGGUGAAGGGGGACGUAAUGCUUCGAAACGGGCCCCCUCGCUGGGGGUAUCUACUCGCAUGAGUAGCUAAUACCGCAUACGAGCUAUGGAUGAAAGCGGGGUACCUUAAGACCUCACGCGAUUUUUGCUGUCGAUGUCAGAUUAGGUAGUUGGUGGGGUAAAGGCUCACCAAGCCAACGAUCUGUAGCUGGUCUGAGAGGACGACCAGCCACACUGGAACUGAGACACGGCCCAGACUCCUACGGGAGGCAGCAGUAGGGAAUUUUGCACAAUGGGCGCAAGCCUGAUCCAGCAAUGCCGCGUGCAGGAAGGAGGCCUUCGGGUUGUAAAAUGCUUUUGUACGGAACGAAACGGCCCUGGUUAAUCCCCGGGGCUAAUGACGGUACCGUAAGAAUAAGCACCGGCUAACUACGUG